CAAGAAAUAGUUUAUUUAGAAUUCCAGCUUUGGGUGCUGGUGGUGGGGCUGGAGGCCUCUUUCUUGA
rnacentral:tRNA from 1 species